AAAUGAUAAAACGAGAGAUUAAACUUUUUAUGACUUCAUGUACAUUUAAUGUAUUAAAUGUAGCCCUACACUUAUUAAAUGUCAUCAUCAAACCUGUGCAAACAAUAUGCAAAGUUAAAGUACUCAGAAAUGUCUCAACUCUUAAAUCAUAAGAAACAAAUGAGCUUUAAUUUUAUUAUCAAACAAAGUGUUUCUGUCCACUGUGCAUUAAAUUAUGCAAAAUAUGUAACUUGCACACAGUCAAGCUGUUGACUUAAAGGGUGUGUACUGGAUGAUAACCCAGACGAAUGUUCAGAAUAAGCCACAUGACGAAGAAGAGCUGGAACGCUUUACUGUCUCUGUAUUCUCGUAAUUUGGAAUAGAAUGAAGGAUUACCAUCUGAUCUCUGAAACCAUUGAAUAAUGUAAAUAAUGCCAGGCAAUCAAGAAGAUGUUAAUACAUAAUAUCUGCUUCAAAAACCACAUUCUACACUUUAUCUUUUAACCUUGCUCCAUGGAUGUGUUAACUAUUCAUAUCGUGGAGGACUCGUCUGACAGUGCCGUGUUCUGGGUCCAGGUUGAGUGUGCUAAUCCUUUCCUGCUAAACUUCUGGUUCCAAAAGACAUUCUUCAACAAUGGGGAAGUCCAGCAGAUCAACACCCUGAGGAUAAACGGCUGUCAUGGGCUAGUGUUUGUUUUGAGGGUGCUACAUCGUUCUUCACGCCUGCCUAAUUCCCAUUAUUGGUGCCCUUUCCUAGUGACACUCUGCCUCGAUGCCCUGGCAUUUCACUACCACCUCCCCUCCCUGCCCCAGUGGAACGGCACCCUUCGAGAAGCAAUGAGAGGAAACAGCCUUGAGCUCAGACGCUGAGAGACUAUUGCUAUUUUGCUGCUUACAGAGCCUAUUAGUUUCAGAUAUUCACUUACUAAAGUGAUGGAUCUUACCAUCGUAGAGGUAGUACGUCCCAUCUUUGAACACAGCAACAACGGGAACAUCCUGCAGAGUGACUGCCUAUGGAGAAAAUCAAUAAUGAAUUGAUUCGGUUUAUUUUAAGUUGAUUAUUUUUACAGAGGUAUUUUCCUCUGAAAGGAGAAAGUCUUACCUUUGGAAGGACUUUCACAGAUGCAGAAAAAAAAUAAGUGUGGACAAUAUACUCAGUUGCAGCUUUAUAGUAUUCAUUCUGUAAAAAAUACAAAAUAAAACUUGUAUUUCACUAGCAGCUUGAAUACAAACCAUUCCUGUAUAUCUUUGCAUGACCUGCCAAUAAAUAUAUAUUUACACAGUUUAAAUAGUGUUAGUGUUAGAACUAGUGUUCAUUAGUUUGCAUUUCAUUCCUAUUCCAUCAAAAUUCAGUCAUUCAUUGUU